GGAUUAGAUACCCUGGUAGUCCACGCUGUAAACGAUGAUUACUCGGUGCUGGCGAUAUACGGUCAGUGCCCAAGCGAAAGUGAUAAGUAAUCCACCUGGGGAGUACGAUCGCAAGGUUGAAACUCAAAGGAAUUGACGGGGGCCCGCACAAGCGGUGGAGCAUGUGGUUUAAUUCGAUGCAACGCGAAGAACCUUACCAUCUCUUGACAUCCACGGAAGCUUGAGGAGACUCGAGUGUGCCUUCGGGAACCGUGAGACAGGUGCUGCAUGGCUGUCGUCAGCUCGUGUUG
rnacentral:rRNA from 1 species